rnacentral:rRNA from 1 species
GACGAACCGUCCUAACGUUGUUCGGAAUCACUGGGCUUAAAGGGCGCGUAGGCGGCUUGCCAAGUCAGGGGUGAAAUCCUGCAGCUUAACUGUAGAAGGGCCUUUGAUACUGGCGAGCUCGAGGGAGGUAGGGGUAUGUGGAACUUCCGGUGGAGCGGUGAAAUGCGUUGAUAUCGGAAGGAACGCCGGUGGCGAAGGCGACGUACUGGACCUCUUCUGACGCUGAGGCGCGAAAGCUAGGGGAGCAAACGGG